CUUCCCAUUCCGAACAGAGAAGUUAAGCCUGCUUGCGCUGAUGGUACUGCCCUUUUGAGGGUGGGAGAGUAAGUCGAUGCCGCUU
rnacentral:rRNA from 1 species